UACGUAGGGGGCAAGCGUUGUCCGGAAUCAUUGGGCGUAAAGAGCGUGUAGGCGGCCAGAAAAGUCCGCUGUGAAAACUCGAGGCUCAACUUCGAGCUGUCGGUGGAAACUUUCUGGCUAGAGUCCGGAAGAGGAGAAUGGAAUUCCUGGUGUAGCGGUGAAAUGCGCAGAUAUCGGGAGGAACACCAGUGGCGAAGGCGGCACUCUGGGCCGGUACUGACGCUGAGGAGCGAAAGCGUGGGGAGCGAACAGG
rnacentral:rRNA from 1 species